rnacentral:rRNA from 1 species
AUACGUAGGGGGCGAGCGUUGUCCGGAAUGAUUGGGCGUAAAGGGCGCGUAGGCGGCCCGGUAAGUCUGGAGUGAAAGUCCUGCUUUUAAGGUGGGAAUUGCUUUGGAUACUGUCGGGCUUGAGUGCAGGAGAGGUAAGUGGAAUUCCCAGUGUAGCGGUGAAAUGCGUAGAGAUUGGGAGGAACACCAGUGGCGAAGGCGACUUACUGGACUGUAACUGACGCUGAGGCGCGAAAGUGUGGGGAGCAAACAGGAUUAGAUACCCUGGUAGUCCACACUGUAAACGAUGAAUGCUAGGUGUAGGGGGUAUCGACCCCUUCUGUGCCGCAGUAAACACAAUAAGCAUUCCGCCUGGGGAGUACGGCCGCAAGGUUGAAACUUAAAGGAAUUGGCGGGG